UGGCUCAGAUUGAACGCUGGCGGCAGGCCUAACACAUGCAAGUCGAGCGGUAGAGAGGUGCUUGCACCUCUUGAGAGCGGCGGACGGGUGAGUAAUACCUAGGAAUCUGCCUGAUAGUGGGGGAUAACGUUCGGAAACGGACGCUAAUACCGCAUACGUCCUACGGGAGAAAGCAGGGGACCUUCGGGCCUUGCGCUAUCAGAUGAGCCUAGGUCGGAUUAGCUAGUUGGUGAGGUAAUGGCUCACCAAGGCUACGAUCCGUAACUGGUCUGAGAGGAUGAUCAGUCACACUGGAACUGAGACACGGUCCAGACUCCUACGGGAGGCAGCAGUGGGGAAUAUUGGACAAUGGGCGAAAGCCUGAUCCAGCCAUGCCGCGUGUGUGAAGAAGGUCUUCGGAUUGUAAAGCACUUUAAGUUGGGAGGAAGGGCAUUAACCUAAUACGUUAGUG
rnacentral:rRNA from 1 species